rfam:Phytophthora nicotianae strain race 0 contig3147, whole genome shotgun sequence.
GCCCUAGUAGCUCAACGGAAGAGCGUUGGCUUUGAAAGCCAAAGAUCGGUGGUUCGAUCCCGUCCGGGACA